rnacentral:misc_RNA from 1 species
AGAGUUGAUGUUGCAUAAUUUUGGAAACAAGACUCGCAUUGUCAUGAAACUGAAGAUUGAAUGACAUGGCCACGAACACGGCACAAGAUGUCGUUCGGUGCACCACGAACACAGCACAAGAUGUCGUUCGGUGCAGCAUAUGUAAGGAAGUCGUCGCCUUUCUAUGCGGGAGUUGUAAUAUUAACCUCUGCGGGCAGUGUGUACAGACACAUCUAAACAAAAACAAAUCUUUGAAGCAUGAAAUUUUACCAUACACCUCAGAAUCUGUCAAACCGAAAUCAGAGGCAUCAGAUUGUAAGGACCAUCCCGGAAAAUCUCGUCACCUUUACCGUCAGGACUGUAACGUCCCGAUCUGUUCGCUGUGCCUGACCGCAAUUCACAAACGACAUGGAGCAAAGGAAUUGUCGGAGAUCUUUGAGAUCUUGGGAAAAACCCGGAGCAUUGUGACAGACGAUUUCAAAGAAUUGCAUCGUUUUGAAAGAGAGUAUUCAAUGAUUGUCGAAGAUCGCGAGAUGAAAAUCAAAAAAUACACCGAGCAAAGCAAUCAAGAAAAUAGUUCUCUCAAAACCAUAGGACAAAUCUGGCACGACAUCAUUGAUAAAGCAAUAGAAACAAUUGAACACGAACUGGCUGAUAUGGUCAAUGAAGAUCUUCAAAUUUUACGAGUCGAAAAAGACAAAGUGCAGAAUUUAUAUCAAAUAAUAAAAGGUUGUAUUGAGCAAAACGAACAUAUCUUGAAAGAAAAAAACUCCUUGAAGAUGCUUGAGUACAAAUCAAUCGUAGAAGAAUUACGGCUUGUACCAUCUAUGAGAGACGUAAGACCACCCAAACUGACUUUGCCAGACGUGGAAAAAGAAUUCAUUGAAAAGAUUGUGUCUCUUCAGCCAUCUGUACACUCAACACUUCCAGGUUUUACCAUAAGUAAAACGGGCGAUGUUACCAUGGUUUCAACACAAAUGAUGAUGGAAGAGCCAGUUGUUCUUGAUGUUCUCCCAACAAAGUGUAAACAAAUUAAAGGAAUCUGCUGCGAAUCCACGGAAAAGGUUUGGAUUUAUGGAGAUGACGAAAAGAUUAAACAACUAGACAGAUCGGGUUCUACUUUGAAAUGCUUCAGUGCCGCAAAUGGAAAUGUCAGAAAGAUAUAGCGAUGAAUAAUGAUGGCAAUAUAGCAUUCUCUCACAAGGAAGAAAAAUGCAUUUAUUUAGUAAACAAGACCAAGAUCGAGAAGUUUGUCGAUAUGUCCGGCUGGAUACCGUAUGGCCUCUGCUUCAAUUCAGACGGAGAGUUGUUGGUGUGCAUGCGACGUAAUGAUUAUACAGAAAGCAAAGUGGGUUUAUUCACCAAGGAAAAAUUAAACAAAGAAUUCCAAUUUGAUGAAACUGGGAAACCAUUAUUUUCUGUCAGCCGAAACAAUAUGUAUAUUUGUGAAAACGGAAAUGGUGACAUCUGUGUUUCUGACUGGAACGCAUGCGCUGUGAUUUCGAUGAAAAAAUCCGGAGAAUUUCGCUUCCGUUAUACCGGAUGCCUAUCGCGCAGCUUCAAAGAGUUCUAUCCCCACGGGAUCGCAACGGAUAGUUACUGUCGUAUUCUGGUCGUAGACCGAGAUAAUAAUUGCGUUCAUGUAACCGAUAGAAACGGAAAGUUCUUACGGUACAUCACGUGUGAUUUGCAGGAUCCGUUUGUUUUGAGCUUGGAUGAAGAAGAAAAUCUUUGGGUCGGAGAAUGUGACAAUGACUGCAUCAAAAUCAUCAAGUAUCUUAAGUGACUUGACAAUAAAAGAUUAUGUCUUUUUUUAACAAAACUAUUUAUGGCCACACCAAUAUAAUUUCUUGUUCGUCGGACAUUCAGUGAAAAAGGGUACGAGCGGGCGAGUGAUUAAAAAAUUAUUUUUUUGUAGCCAGAAGUUUUAGGCGGAAUAUAAAUGAAUUAGAUUUCAUAGGACAGUUAUAUUUCAUCUACUUGUUUAAGAUUCAAAAAUUUAAAUUAUUAAAAAUGCCAAAACAUAUAGCGGAAAUAAAACAGCACAAUUUCCUGGAUGCGGGAAAUUAAUAAUUAUG